UGGAGGUGCUAUUUUCUAUCGCUUUACCAAUAACGAACGGUCAAUUUAUGGAAACAAGAUUUACCAAGUUGUACUUGAUAACUUAACUGUUGAAGAAGAUGAUUAUAUCUGGAUAAUAAUAGUAACACAAGUUCAUUGUCCAUUUAUUAAUGUAAAUAUAAGCAUAAACUGUGCUGAUCGUGCUGAUGUUACAGCCCCCGAUACUGAUACACACAGCAAGAACUCGUUAAAUGAAGGGAUUUCUACAUGUACAUGUAAAGAGAACAACAAUGGUGAUGUUAACACAGGACUAACAGUUGGUAUAAUAGUGGUAUCUUUACUUCUCAUGAUAACAUGGUUUAUUGUUGGUGUUUAUUGUAUCAGAAGGAAGAUUAAACGGACACAGCAGUCCCGCGAGGAACACGAUAUUGCACGUGCUGUAAAUACAGUAGAGACAAGUACGUAUGCAGGCCUCAUCAACAACGGUGGACUGGAACACGAUUAUACAGGCCUGGUGAACCGGAACGGGUCCGAUACUGUAAUCAACGGUGAACCAGUACACGACUAUAUAGCCAUGACGAAUAGGAACAGUUCAGAUACCUUAAAUAACAGUGAAACGGAACACUCCACAGUACAAAAUGAGACAGGACAUGAUUACACUGCUGUGAGUCGCCCGACCCGGGUUCAUACAGAAGCUUCUACCAACGUUGAUUAUGAAAAUACCUUAGUAAAUACAAAUCAGCAGCCUGCUAAUAAUACCACCUCGGCGUGAAAAGUUUAACGACUUACACACACUAUUAGGCCCGGGUCAUUGUAUAUAGCUUAAAACGUCAUUAUAUAGUUCAAGGUCGAAACAGGACCUGAACAAGACAUAUACUACUUGAUUUGAAAUUCAUGUUUACAAAAUGAAUCAAGUAGGAACAUAGUUUUUUUUGUAAUGUAGUUUUGUUUACAAGACACUUUUUCAUCUAUAUUAUUUUUUUCAAAUAAAAACGCGAAAGUUAACCUGCAGCUACUAUAACUUUCCUAUUAAGCAGUCCCCAAAACACCAAACAACAAGCUUUUUCAUUGUAUCUGUCACUUCGUCAUAGCUAAAGGUUGUUGAAUUGUAAGCAUUUCAUUUCAUUAAUACAAUGAUCAUAACGUUGGUUGCUAGGACAGUGGCCUUGGGUGUCUUCCUGGCUUUUGAUGAGAGAUCAAACUAGGUUUAGUGGGAACUUGUUGGAUUUCUUGAAAUGUAUUAUUGUUUGUGACAUAGCAUAGAUAUUUUUGUUGUUCAAAAUGAUUUUUUUUUUAAAUUUAACAAGACAGUAGCAAAUCACUCAUCAUCAUCAUCGUUAUCUUACAACUUGACCACAGUAUAUCACAUUAUUUUACAUAAUAUAGUAUACGUGUAUCACUUAUGAUACACAAAUUAUUCAAUAAUACACAUAAAUGUUAACUUAAUCUAUUAACUUAAUCUCUUAUUCAAAGGGCUAAUCUUUGUAAAUUUAUCUAUAAUCCCCUUAACAUGUUUAAUUUAGUUCCAAGUAAACUUCUGAACUGAUGACAAGGUUUGCUUUAUAUAUGAUAGAAGACAUACGGUCAGUAUUCUUACUGUGCCAGUCUUUAAUAAACGUUUGAACCUUCGUCUAGUGUACGAACAUAAAGGUAAUUUUUAGUAUUCUUUGCCGAUCCAUCGAUAAUACAAUAAAUGAAAUGAAACGAAAUGGGGUUUAACGCUUUACUAUAGUACUGUUCUGCUCCGACUGGGAUGAUACAGUGCUAUGAGGGAAAUUUGGCCUGGGCAGUGGUACUAUGGCCUAUUCUUGUAUCGAAUUCCAACUGCCAAGGGAUGUUUUACUUGCACGUCAAUGUAUACACUCGACCUCGGUUUUUCGUCCCAUGCGAACGACUAUACGGCUGUCCUUGACAGGCACUCCAUCCUGCACUAUUGACAAGGGGGAAACCACGUCGGAAAAUCACGAUGAAUUUUUCAGCCAAUGCAGUGAUCGAACCGGCGACCUCCUGGCUAGCGAGACAGUGUCUUACUCACUGAACCACCCCGCCUCUCGCAUCGAUUAUACGAAAAGGGGCUGAGAAUCGUAACGGUGCCGCCCGAAUCGACGCAUCGAUACUUGAUAUCAGCCCUACCUGUCAGUGUCAAUUUAUAUUUUACUUUGACAAUUUUAAAAUUUGUGAUAUUUAAUAUUUUUAAUUUAAAUAUUUGCGAUCGUUUUACUUCAUGCAUUCAUAGUUUUACCAUUUGUUUAUUGAGCACUCUAUGUGGAAUAAUCGAUGUUACAUAAACGAUUUGAUAAUAAAA